rnacentral:tRNA from 1 species
GGCCUUGUGGUGAGACAUAUUAGAUUGCAAAUCUGAAGCUGCAGAAUAGAGUCUGCCGGGGCUU